rnacentral:rRNA from 1 species
CCUACGGGAGGCAGCAGUGAGGAAUAUUGGUCAAUGGGCGGGAGCCUGAACCAGCCAAGCCGCGUGAGGGAAGAAUGUACAGCGUAUCGUAAACCUCUUUUGUCAGGGAACAAAGGCGGGGACUAGUCCCCGGUUGAGGGUACCUGAAGAAAAAGCAUCGGCUAACUCCGUGCCAGCAGCCGCGGUAAUACGGAGGAUGCGAGCGUUAUCCGGAUUUAUUGGGUUUAAAGGGUGCGCAGGCGGACUGUUAAGUCAGCGGGAAAAGCCCGGGGCUCAACCCAGGAAAGCCGUUGAAACUGGCGGGCUGGAGUUGGAGAGAAGUACGCGGAAUGCGUGGUGUAGCGGUGAAAUGCUUAGAUAUCGCGCAGAACCCCGAUUGCGAAGGCAGCGUACCGGCUCCACACUGACGCUGAGGCACGAAAGCGUGGGUAUCGAACAGGAUUAGAUACCCGAGUAGUC